rnacentral:rRNA from 1 species
GUGGGGAAUAUUGCACAAUGGGGGAAACCCUGAUGCAGCGACGCCGCGUGGAGGAAGAAGGUCUUCGGAUUGUAAACUCCUGUUGUUGAGGAAGAUAAUGACGGUACUCAACAAGGAAGUGACGGCUAACUACGUGCCAGCAGCCGCGGUAAAACGUAGGUCACAAGCGUUGUCCGGAAUUACUGGGUGUAAAGGGAGCGCAGGCGGGAGAACAAGUUGGAAGUGAAAUCCAUGGGCUCAACCCAUGAACUGCUCUCAAAACUGUUUUUCUUGAGUAGUGCAGAGGUAGGCGGAAUUCCCGGUGUAGCGGUGGAAUGCGUAGAUAUCGGGAGGAACACCAGUGGCGAAGGCGGCCUACUGGGCACCAACUGACGCUGAGGCUCGAAAGUGUGGGUAGCAAACAGGAUUAGAUACCCCUGUAGUCC